GAUGAAGGAACGCAGCGAAAUGCGAUAAGUAAUGUGAAUUGCAGAAUUCAGUGAAUCAUCGAAUCUUUGAACGCACCUUGCACCCUUUGGCUAUUCCGAAGGGUAUGCCUGUUUGAGUAUCAUGAACACCUCAACUCUCAUGGUUUGCCAUGAUGAGCUUGGACUUUGGGGGUCUUGCUGGCCUGUGGUCAGCUCCUCUCAAAUGGAUUAGCUUGCCAGUGUUUGGUGGCAUCACAGGUGUGAUAACUAUCUACGCUUGUGGUUUUCCACCAGGUAACCUUCAGCAAUGGGGGUUCGCUGGGGCUCAUAAAUGUCUCUCCUCAGUGAGGACAGCUCUUUGAACGUUUGAUCUCAAAUCAGGUAGGACUACCCGCUGAACUUAAGCAUAUCAAUAAGCGGAGGA
rnacentral:misc_RNA from 1 species